rnacentral:tRNA from 1 species
GCGGGUUUAGCUCAGUUGGGAGAGCGUCAGACUGAAGCCAAAACUUCGGGAACUCUAUCUGAAGGUCAUGUGUUCGAUCCACAUAAACCGCA